UACGUAGGCAGCAAGCGUUGUUCGGAGUUACUGGGCGUAAAGGGUGUGUAGGCGGUUGUUUAAGUUUGGUGUGAAAUCUCCCGGCUCAACUGGGAGGGUGCGCCGAAUACUGAAUGACUUCGAGUGCGGGAGAGGAAAGUGGAAUUCCUGGUGUAGCGGUGAAAUGCGUAGAUAUCAGGAGGAACACCGGUGGUGUAGACGGCUUUCUGGACCGUAACUGACGCUGAGACACGAAAGCGUGGGUAGCAACAGG
rnacentral:rRNA from 1 species